AAGCGUCCCAUAACGGGAACAGGGUCACAGAAUCACAGAAUUAAUUAGGCUGUAAAAGACCUUUGAGAUCAUUGAGUCCAACCUCUGACUGAUCCACCACCACGGCAACUAGAUCAUGGCAUCAAGUGCCAUGUCCAGUUUUUCCUUAAACACCUCCAGGGACAGUGGCUCCACCACCUCCCUGGCCAGCCCAUUCCAGUAUCUAAUCAGCCUUUCUGUGAAGAAAUUCCUCCUCAUGUCCAACCCUCCACUGAACCAUCCACUGGAUCGGAGGGCAGUUCGACUGACUUGUUCAGGGUCACACACAAACACAAAGACCUGAUCGAGGGUCUCCACAUCUUUAACUGGUCUGCCAGCACCCCAGGGAAGAUCCAGGCACACACACAUGCCAACAACAUAAGAGAGACCCUCUCCCAGGCCUCCACAGCCAAGUGUGUCACUCCCUCCACUCCACUGCCAGUACUCUUGGAUGACUCACACCAACAGUUUAUGCAAUAAUGUUCUUUAUUAAUAUAAUAGAAAAUUGGGACAGGUUAAAGUUCAAAGAUUGCUGGUGAUAGUAUCUGUCUGGAAAAACAUAUCCAAAGCAUUCUAUAGAGAAGCUCUGAUAAUUAAAAAAGGCUGGCUUGAGAUAAUCAAUCACCCCACAUAGAGUCUGUUCCUUACCCAACAGGCCCCAUGGGGGAGAAGACAGGUUCAGCCUGUCAGUUGAUUCCAGAAGUUAGGAUGGAGUCUUCCCUAACUUUUCCCCAUUUUUAACUUGAUUUCAUGCUAUUUUUGCAUUCAGGUGGAGCCUGACUAACUCCAGUCACACAUCAUGUGCAGUGGGGGGUGGUCGUACCUUGGAGGUGGGUAACGUCUGUUACACCUCAGUAACCUUUGGGAUGGAGAGCCAAAACUGUGGGUCAUCCAAAGCCAGCGACUGCCACUUGCCAGUAGCAUUGCAGAGAAGAGAAACAGGAUGAGGAGAAAGAAGAAAAACAUUUUAGGUCUAGGCAGGCUGGAAAAAAAUGGCAGUUCCUGACCACCUGAAACCUAAUGAUGCCUCAAGUCACAGGAAUCAGUAAACAUUUUCCUGAUA